rnacentral:rRNA from 1 species
GACGAAGGAUGCAAGCGUUAUCCGAAUUCAUUGGGUUUAAAGGGAGCGUAGGCGGCCUUGUAAGUCAGUGGUGAAAUCUCGCGGCUUAACUGCGAAACUGCCAUUGAUACUGCUUGGCUAGAGUAUAGAUGCUGUGGGCGGAAUAUGACAUGUAGUGGUGAAAUACAUAGAGAUGUCAUAGAACACCGAUUGCGAAGGCAGCUCACAAAACUAUAACUGACGCUGAGGCUCGAAAGUGUGGGGAUCAAACAGG